AGAGUUUGAUCAUGGCUCAGAGCGAACGCUGGCGGCGUGCCUAACACAUGCAAGUCGAACGUGAAAGGGAGCAAUCCUGAGUAAAGUGGCGUACGGGUGAGUAACGCGUAGGUAAUCUACCCCAAAGUUUGGAAUAACCUGCCGAAAGGCGGGCUAAUACUGGAUAGAGCGAUGGAAUCCGUAAUUGGGUUUUUCGGGAAAGGGAGGAAGCAAUUCCCUUCGCUUUGGGAUGAGCCUGCGUCUCAUUAGCUAGUUGGUGGGGUAAUGGCCUACCAAGGCAUUGAUGGGUAGCUGGUCUGAGAGGAUGAUCAGCCACACUGGAACUGAAACACGGUCCAGACUCCUACGGGAGGCAGCAGUGGGGAAUCUUGCGCAAUGGACGAAAGUCUGACGCAGCCACGCCGCGUGAGUGAAGAAGGCCUUCGGGUUGUAAAGCUCUGUCGAGCGGGACGAAAAUCUUAUCAGUGAAUAGCUGGUAGGACUGACGGUACCGCUAAAGGAAGCACCGGCUAACUCCGUGCCAGCAGCCGCGGUAAUACGGAGGGUGCAAGCGUUGCUCGGAAUUAUUGGGCGUAAAGGGUAGGUAGGUGGUCUCAUUUGUCUGGGGUGAAAGCCUUGAGCUUAACUCAAGAAGUGCCCCAGAAACGGUGAGACUGGAGUCCUGGAGAGGGUCGUGGAAUUCCCGGUGUAGCGGUGAAAUGCGUAGAGAUCGGGAGGAACACCAGAGGCGAAAGCGGCGACCUGGACAGGUACUGACACUCAACUACGAAAGCGUGGGGAGCAAACAGGAUUAGAUACCCUGGUAGUCCACGCUGUAAACG
rnacentral:rRNA from 1 species